rnacentral:rRNA from 1 species
UACGUAGGGUGCAAGCGUUGUCCGGAAUUAUUGGGCGUAAAGAGCUCGUAGGCGGUUUGUCGCGUCUGCUGUGAAAACUGGGGGCUCAACCCCCCAGCCUGCAGUGGGUACGGGCAGACUAGAGUGCGGUAGGGGAGAUUGGAAUUCCCGGUGUAGCGGUGAAAUGCGCAGAUAUCGGGAGGAACACCCGUAGCGAAGGCGGCACUCUGGGCCGGAACUGACGCUGAGGAGCGAAAGCGUGGGGAGCAAACAGG